CUGCGAGUGAAGCGGGAAAAGCUCAAAUUUAAAAUCUGGUAGUCUUUGGCUGCCCGAGUUGUAAUCUAGAGAAGCAUUAUCCGCGUUGGACCGUGUACAAGUGUCCUGGAAUGGACCAUCAUAGAGGGUGAGAAUCCCGUCUUUGACACGGACUCCCGGGGCUUUGUGAUGUGCUCUCAAAGAGUCGAGUUGUUUGGGAAUGCAGCUCUAAAUGGGUGGUAAAUUCCAUCUAAAGCUAAAUAUUGGCGAGAGACCGAUAGCGAACAAGUACCGUGAGGGAAAGAUGAAAAGAACUUUGGAAAGAGAGUUAAACAGUACGUGAAAUUGCUGAAAGGGAAACGCUUGAAGUCAGUCGCGUUGGCUGGGGAUCAACCUUGCUUUUUUGCUUGGCUUACUUCCCAGUUGACGGGUCAGCAUCAGUUUUGACCGGUGGAUAAAGGUUAAGGGAAUGUGGCACCCUCGGGUGUGUUAUAGCCCUUGGUCAUAUACAUUGGUUGGGACUGAGGAACUCAGUACUUGUGCUUAGGAUGCUGGCAUAAUGGCUUUAAGCGACCCGUCUUGAAACACGGACCAAGGAGUCUAACAUGCCCGCGAGUGUUUGGGUGGAAAACCCGAGCGCGUAAUGAAAGUGAAAGUUGAGAUCCCUGUCGUGGGGAGCAUCGACGCCCGGACCAGACCUUUUGUGACGGAUCCGCGGUAGAGCGUGUAUGUUGGGACCCGAAAGAUGGUGAACUAUGCCUGAAUAGGGUGAAGCCAGAGGAAACUCUGGUGGAGGCUCGUAGCGAUUCUGACGUGCAAAUCGAUCGUCGAAUUUGGGUAU
rnacentral:rRNA from 1 species